GGAGGUAUGGGAUAUGGAACAGUUGGAGGGUAAACUGGGAGGGGAAUAAAAUCUAGACUGUAAAAAAAUUGGGGGACAAAACUGAUAUUGCCAAUUAUGACUUUUGUUAGGCUUAUUGGAUCCACCCAUUAUUUCAUCAGAAUGGAAAAGGUAUUCUGGAAGGCGGAAAGAAUGGGCAGCUGAUAAAAUGCACUGUUCUCUUGUUUCUUCUCAGUCCAUCCCAACCUCCUUCGAUGAUGGUCUAUAGUCUUUAAGAUACACACAUAAUCACAUCGGAGUGAAGUGGUCUUCAUUAUGAACUGUCAGGAUGUUACACAGCAUUUAGCCCUUUCGUGGUGAAUUCAGUUGGUACCCUGGCUAUCAACAAAGGAACUAUGCUACAGAACAGAUUGCUCUCUCAGGAGUGUAACAG